rnacentral:rRNA from 1 species
UACGUAGGGGGCAAGCGUUGUCCGGAUUCAUUGGGCGUAAAGAGCGUGUAGGCGGCCAGGUAGGUCGGUUGUGAAAACUGGAGGCUCAACCUUCAGAGGUCGACCGAAACCAUCUGGCUAGAGUCCGGGAGAGGAGAGUGGAAUUCCGUGGUGUAGCGGUGAAAUGCGCAGAUAUCAGGAAGAACACCCGUGGCGAAAGCGGCUCUCUGGAACGGUACUGACGCUGAGACGCGAAAGCGUGGGGAGCAAACAGG